AGCCUUCAAAGCCCUAAGCAAGUACAAUUUACUUAAUUCCUG
rnacentral:tRNA from 1 species